GCCGGGCGUGGUAGCGCAUGCCUGUAAUCCCAGCUACUGGGGAGGCUGAGGCCAGCGGAUCACCUGAGGUCAGGAGUUUGAGACCAGCCUGACCAACAUGGUGAAACCCCGUCUUUACUAAAAAUCAAAAAUUAGCCAGGUGUGGUGGCGCAUGGGUGUAAUCCCAGCACUCUGGGAGGCUGAGGUGGGCGGAUCACCUGAGGUCAGGGGUUUGAGACCAGCCUGGCCAACAUGGUGAAACCCUGUCUUUA
ensembl:misc_RNA Metazoa_SRP Metazoan signal recognition particle RNA